rnacentral:lncRNA from 1 species
AAAAAAAAGAAAGGGAGAUCAGUUCAGACCCAGAGCGGGUCUCUGCCGACUCGAAUAGCAGCAACGGGCGACCCGGCUGCCGCUCCGUUCUCCGGCGACGGCGAGGAGAAAGAAAGGUGGCGACAGCUUUGUCUCGACGUCCUGGUCUUCUCCAUGGCAUUUAUUUGCAGAGAUGAAGUCUGGUGAAGAAGAAUCGAAGAAGAAGAGGAAAGGCUGGGUUCGCCGGCCAACUUUGGAUUCCGGCCACGGCGGCGGGCAUGGAUGGUGUGGGUAACUUUGUCUCGGUCUCGUCGACCUUCCUGUGCCUUCAGCUUGCAGAGAUGAGGUCUGGUGAGUGAGAAUCGAGGCAGAGGAGUGGUUUGAGUUUUCCGGCGAGGGUUCGGUGUUUUUCGGCAAAGUUGUGUUCGACUCAGGUAUCAAUCUUCAUCUACUCGUUGAGCUCUUCCUUGCUGUGUACUUGAAUGCGAUUUUGGAUUGUGUUUUGGAGAUUUUGGGUUUAGGCAGUUGGUGACCACCAUGUGUGGCCACCGUGUACGGCGGCGGCGGCAGUUUUGAGAGUGGGUUUCUAGCUUUCUUAAUAUAUUGAAUUGGUAGGUGUGAUUACAAGUGCUUGAAUUCAAGUUUGGUUGAGUUUUGGAGAAAGUUGGGUUUUUGGCAGAAUGAUUGAUGUGUGGUGGUUGCUAUGUUCGACGACGGAAGGGGUGGCAGUAAUUGUAGUUAUGAUUCUGGGUUUGGGUUCCUGUAUUGAGCUUGUAUAUGUGAUUUGAAGUUCUGGAUAUCUGAAAUUUGUAGGUGUUUGGUGAUGGGGGAUCUAGAUGUUCUUGUUUGGUUAUGUGUUACUGUAUUAGUGAUGGUGGUUUCCAUGUUUUUGGAUUAAGUUCCACAACAAGGAAGCUACAAACUAGGAAAUUGAUGUUAUAUAUGGUUAAAGUACAUAAAGGGAGAAGUUAGGUGAUAUUUGGAUUUAUGUCGAGUAUUGUGUGAAAUUGGGAAGAGCAAAUUUGGUUGUUGUGAAAAUGAGAUUGCGAAGGAUGCAUAUGUUUAUGGAUUUUGAAAAAGGAGAGGAGGAUAGUCCAAGUUGAAGUGUGUUGCUGGGGAGUGGGAAUCAAUAAGGGAUUUCACUAUAAACUGUUAAUUUUGGUUAUGGAUAGGUUCGUUGAUAAGUUGUUGCUAUGCCUACAAUAAAGUAAUGAUACGAAGGAGAUGGGAAGAUUGAUCAAGAUUGAGAUAGGCAAAUAUAAAGGAUUUGGUUUUAGUAUAUUUAAUGGGUGUCCAUAGUAAAUCUAAGAUGGAAUGUUUAGUAAAUUUAGGUUCAAAGAGAAAGAAUGCAUGUUUGAUGAUUGGUAUAAGAUGAGUUUUAUAUUAUUCUAAUGAAAUUUUGAUUGGGCACAUAUAUAUAUAUUUAUAUAUGUAUGUGUGCAUACAUAUACACACUCUUUGGCACUUGUGUAGGUUGUUUUGUGAGUUGAGUGUGGGGUUCGGUUAAGUUGAUGAGUUUACUUAUUCUCUUGAAACUUUAUAUUAGAAUGAUAAUAAAUUGGUAUAGUUUUGAUGAUGUAUGAGGCUUUAUAUGGCCGGGUUGAUUUGAUGAAAUGGUUUUUAUGAGUCCGUAAGUAUGGUUUAAUUUUGGACUUGUGGUGGUAAAUGAGAUGUUAGUGAAGGUAGAGAAGUAGAAUAAAUGUUGAACUACGAGUGGCUUGAUCCCUUUAAAAGGGUACGUAGGCAGCCCGAGCAAGUUUUGGGUGCAGCCGCAAAUUAAUAAAAUAAAAUUUAGGUUCCCAACACGACAAAAAAUAUUUGUCGUUUUGUUUGAUUAUGAGAUCUUAUCUCAUUUUUGAAUUAUGAUUUUUUUUAUUUAUUUUAUUCGUUUAUUCUUUUAACACCUGGGUCAGGGUGCUACACUAACAAACACUCUUCCAAAAUUCACAAAUUUCUUACCAAUAAACUCCUCUCAACAACACCAAGCUAAACAACUCGAAAAACUAAUUAAAAGAGGCGGCGCGGCCACCACCAAUUUCCGACUACCUUCGAUCGCCACCAAAUUUUAACACAAACAUCCUCUCAACAUUCUAAACAACUUUCAUAACUAGACCUAAGAUCAAAUUCAAGUCAAAACAUGUCAAUCGAAGCAAAGACAGAAAAUCCCAAAUUAAAAAACCCUAGAAUUUCAAAACUUCGAUUCUUCUUACCUAGCUCAGAUUGGAUCGAAUCCUUCCAAGGGUUUACUACCCAACAUGAGAUCUUCCAAAUGGGAUAAGAAGCUCCAGUUAUGGUGGCCAAAAGAGGGAGUUCCGGCGAAAGGAACACAGCGGUGGUAACACGGCUUCACGACGUGAUUUCUCUCACAUGUCGGCGAGAUAGGUCCGGUAACCUACCUAGAUUGAUGGAGGAGCUGAGCUUCAAAUCGAUACCGACCUUGUCACCUAACUCGGCCUGACGGCAGCGGACGGCGACAUCGAAGUCGCCGGUUGAGAGAGAUGCGGGGGAGAGGAGAGAGGGAGGAAUUAAUUUCUGAUUCCCCCCCAACGGAAAGUCUCCCCUCCUUAUGCACAACUCAUAGGUAGUCUCAUGUAUGCUCAGCAUUGCACUAGGCCUGCUAUAGCAUAUGCAGUGGGAAUUCUUUCGAGAUUUCAAUCUCAUCCCGCUAAAGAACAUUGGACUGCAGGUAAGAAGGUACUAUGGUAUUUACAAAGAACUAAAUCUCAUAUGUUGGUAUACAAACAGGUUAAGAAUUUAGAAUUAGUUGGCUUUAUUGAUUCAGACUUUGAGAGAAUCACCUUAAUUCUAACAAAUCAACUUCAGGCUAUGUGUUCAUGCUUGCUGGUGGAGCUGUUGCAUGGAAAACUAUGAAGCAAAAGUUGAUUUCUACUUCAACUAUGUAGGCUGAAUACAUAGCAUUAUAUGAAGGGGUAUGUGAGAGGUCUUUGGAUUAAAAACUUUCGGCUAUAUACUGAAGUUUUAAGUCACAGAGUCUCAUAUGGAUUUAAGGUAUUCUGUGACAAUGAAGCUGCAGUAUUUUUUGCAAAGAACAAUAAAAGAUCAAAUAAUUCUAAGCAUAUAGAUCCCAAAUUUUACAGUGUUAGACAAAGAGUUAAGAGAAAUGAGAUUUCUGUGCUAAACAUUGAUGCUGAUCCAUUUACAAAGGCUUUAUCAGUCAAGGAUUUUCAGAGACAGUGGAGAAAAUGGGUGUGUUAUCUAACUUGUAUGCUUGAGGUUGGUGGGAGACACAUUUUAAUUUUUAGUAUUUUUAGUCAGUGUAAUAAUUUGUAGGUUCUUUCAUCAGCAUUGUAAUAAUCUUGUAUUCUGCAAAUUAUCAAUAAAAUCAAGUUAUUCCGGAUUCAGAUGAUUUUUUUUGUUGCUUUUGAAAUUAAUUAAUGUGUGUUAUCAGGUAAACUACUACAACUUUAGUAUUAAGUGCAGCAUUUCAGUUUACUAGUGUUACUCGCAACUCAAUAUCACUACAUGCUUAUGUAUGUGCAGUGGUUUUUGUUAGUGAUUUUUAGUCAACUUGUUUGUGUCAAACAUACUUGAUUCUGAAUUCUACAUUAGCUGCUGCAUUAUGACCAAGAUGUACAAGUUUUGGAUUUUCAUUUAUUCAAGUACAUUUCAGUUGCUGUUCAAUUCAGUUUUGAUCCAUUUGUUCAGUAAAGACAAUGUUAGUCCAAGUGGUAGAAUGUAAGAAAAAUAUGGACUUAACAUUAUCUAAAACACUUCCGUAAAUAUUAGAUGGAUUAUUAUUAAGGUAAAUAGCAGAAUUAUAUGAGUAAAACUCCUAAUCCUAGUUAUUCUCUUAGUUGUAUAUCUCCCGGAGAAGUAGGAGACUUGUGUGUUGAUAACCUGAUCAACAUCAAGGUAUUGUGAUAUGUUUAGACGUUAUUCUGAUAAGGAUGAAAUCACAAUGAGGACUCUUUAUGGGAUUAGUUAAAAUUGUGAUUUGCGACCGAUAUAUAAACAGAUGAAAGUCCCUAAGUUCAACACAGUUCUUUGUGUUCAUAUCAGUCCCAUUCUGAAGCAUAUUGUGGUUCAUACUUAGAUGACCUUCUCGACUCAACUCAAUGGCUGUUAUUGGAACUGGUGGUGGUUCUGGAUAUGGAGGCUAUGGCUAUGGAGCACUUGCACUUGGUGGAGGUACUUAUCCUACUGUAAUUAGUAAUCUCUGUUUAUGUUUGUUUUGGUUGAUCCGAGUUGUAUUGAUAUGUGUUUGUGUUUUGUGAUAUAAAGAUCCUGAAUUCAGUUUGUUAUUAUAAAGUAAAAACCGAAAGGACACCGCACAAAGCUGCAAUGGGUAAUAACCGCAGUGACGUUGCAUGAAGGGGAAAUAACGGAAGGGAAGCGGUAAGAGGUGAUAACUGAAGGGACGCCGCACGAAGCGGCAAGGGGUGAUAACCGAUGGGACGCCGCACGAAGCGGGAAGGGAAUUAAACCAAGGGACACCGCACAAAGCGGCAAGGGGUAAUAACCGAUGGGGCGCCGCACGAAGCAGCAAUGGGUAAUAACCGAAAGGACGUCACACAAAGCAGCAAGGGGUAAUAACUGAUGGGACGCCGCACGAAACGGUUAGGGGAAUAACCGAAGGGAUGCCGCACGAAGCGGUAGGGGUAAUAACCGAAGGGAUGCCGCACGAAGCGGUAAGGGGUAAUAACACGCCACAAGAAGCGGUAAGGGGUAAUAACAGAAGGGACGCCGCACGAAGCGGCAAGAGGUAAUAACCGAUGGGACGCCACACGAAGCGGCAAGGGGUAAUAUCGGAGGGAGACCGCACGAAGCGGUAAGGGGUAAUAACCGAUGGGACGCCGCACGAAGCGGUAAAAGGUAAUACUGAAAGGACGCCGCACGAAGCUGUAAGGGGUAAUAAUCGACAGGACACCGCACGAAGCGGCAAGGGGUAAUAGUCGAAGGGACGCCGCACGAAGCGGUUAGGGGUAAUAACCGAUGGGAUGCCGCACGAAGCGGUAAGGGGUAAUAACCAAAGGGACGUAAUAACCUAAGGGGCAUAAUAACCGAAGGGACGCUGCACGAAGCGGUAGGGGUAAUAACCGACGGGACGCCGCACGAAACGACAAGGGCUAAUAGGGGUAAUAACCGAUGGGACGCCGCACGAAACGGCAAGGGGUAAUAACCGAAGGGACGCCACACGAAGUGGCAAGGGGUUAUAACCGAUGGGAAGCCGCACGAAACGGUAGGGGUAACCGAAGGGACACCGCACAAAGCGGGAAAGGGUAUUAACCGGAGGGACGCCACAUGAAGCGGCAAGGGGAUAAUAACCGACGGGACGCCGACGAAGUGGCAAGAGGUAAUAACCAACGAGACGCCGCAUGAAACGGUAAGGGGUAAUAACCGAAGGGACGGCACACGAAGCGGCAAGGGGUAAUAACCGAAGGGACGCCGCAUGAAGCGGGUAGGGGUAAUAUCCGAAGGGCCGCUCGAAGUGUAUCUUUACUUAUUUAAGUCUUAAGUAUUUAAGAGUCUUAUUAUUAAUAAGUUAUAUUAGUCUUAUGGUAUUCUAGGAGACUAAGGGUUAUAUUUGAAACCUAUAAAUGGCUUUCUCAUGUAAUCCGAAGCGUAGAUUGGAAUGAAUUAAGAUUUUAUUUUAUUGAAGGCUUGGCCUUGUUUCCUCUCCCCUAACGUGCCUCAUUCUAUUUCUCCCUUCUACAUCUAAGAAACCCUUAUCCCUUCUAAAACCCUUAUGUUUUCUUAAUCUCUCAACAUUCUCCAGCCCUCCCUAUUCACUCUAUCUCUAACUAUUGGCCUCUCCCUGCAUCCAAGAUAAUCCACCAUUUUUGUCUCAGUCAACUACGAUCUAUGUUUCUCGAAAGAAGAAAAAGAAAGAUAGCUCAAACUAUUUGCUGAUACACUGAUGUUGAUAAUGUUCUAAGAAUCAGGGUCAUUAUUUCUGGGCAUUAUUAUGCAGAUACAUAUUUAAAAGCAAUAAAGAUCACUUCCUAUUUUCUAGUUAACUCCAUAUAAGCAGCAAAUUUGAUUUAAUUCCUCUGUAUAGAAGCUUAAGUGAGAUAUAAAGUGGUGCCUCCAAUCAGGGAAAUUCUUUUUGCAAGUAGUGUUAAUUCCAAAUGCUUCUUCAUUUCUUCAGUAUAGAAAUAUCAGAGAGAUAUAAAGUGCGAAAAAGAGGAAGGACUUGAACAGAAAAAGUUUACCUGAUAUGUUUCUACUCUUAUGUCACUUCACAUAUGGAGAAAACAUGCAGACAACACGAAUGUCCCCAACAUUUAAAUUCAACAUAAAGAUUAUGAGUCACGAUGGGAUUACCUCAAGUACCAUGUGAAGCAAUUGGAAAGCGGCACGCAUCCCAUUAUCUCUUAAAGUGAAGCGGAGUUCCUUAGAAAUAAAUCUCUCAGUGGAAUUCGAUGAGCAAUUACUCAAGUGGUUCACACAGAAAGUUCUACCUAAGAACAAUGAUGCAUAUCACGAUCUCAGCAAAAAUGAGUAAGCUCCGAUACAAUUAUCAAACAAUGAUUAUGCAAUACCAUAUAUAUGAUAUGAGUAUAUUUCUCAUAUUACC